rnacentral:pre_miRNA from 9 species
AUGCUAUAAUGUAAAAGUUAACUAAAAUUUGUAUGGAGAUGGAACGUUUGCCUGCGUUCGCCGCUAGGGGCGCUGUACCAACUCCAUACAAAUUUGAGUUAACUUUUACGCUAUCGA